CCUACGGGAGGCAGCAGUGAGGAAUAUUGGUCAAUGGACGAGAGUCUGAACCAGCCAAGUAGCGUGAAGGAUGACUGCCCUAUGGGUUGUAAACUUCUUUUAUAUGGGAAUAAAACGUUCCACGUGUGGGAUUUUGUAUGUACCAUAUGACUAAGGAUCGGCUAACUCCGUGCCAGCAGCCGCGGUAAUACGGAGGAUCCGAGAGUUAUCCGGAUUUAUUGGGUUUAAAGGGAGCGUAGGUGGAUUGUUAAGUCAGUUGUGAAAGUUUGCGGCUCAACCGUAAAAUUGCAGUUGAAACUGGCAGUCUUGAGUACAGUAGAGGUGGGCGGAAUUCGUGGUGUAGCGGUGAAAUGCUUAGAUAUCACGAAGAACUCCGAUUGCGAAGGCAGUUCACUGGACUGCAACUGACACUGAGGCUCGAAAGUGUGGGUAUCAAACAGGAUUAGAUACCCGUGUAGUC
rnacentral:rRNA from 1 species